rnacentral:rRNA from 1 species
CCUACGGGAGGCUGCAGUGAGGAAUAUUGGUCAAUGGGCGGAAGCCUGAACCAGCCAAGUCGCGUGAGGGAAUAAGGCCCUACGGGUCGUAAACCUCUUUUGCCGGGGAGCAAGGGCCGGGACGCGUCCCGGCCCGGAGAGUACCCGGAGAAAAAGCAUCGGCUAACUCCGUGCCAGCAGCCGCGGUAAUACGGAGGAUGCGAGCGUUAUCCGGAUUUAUUGGGUUUAAAGGGUGCGUAGGCGGGCUUUUAAGCCAGCGGGAAAAAUUCGGGGCUCAACCCCGUCCGGCCGUUGAAACUGGGGGCCUUGAGUGGGCGAGAAGAAGGCGGAAUGCGUGGUGUAGCGGUGAAAUGCAUAGAUAUCACGCAGAACCCCGAUUGCGAAGGCAGCCUUCCGGCGCCCUACUGACGCUGAGGCACGAAAGUGCGGGGAUCGAACAGGAUUAGAUACCCCGGUAGUC